GCCCUGCUGGCGCAAUGGUAGCGCGCAAGACUUCUAUCCGUCUUCUGUCCAGCACAGGAAGCACGAAAUCUUGAGGUUGUGGGUUCGACCCCCACGUGGGGUG